UCAAGUGUAAUGGCGCUGCGAUUGGGCUUC
rnacentral:piRNA from 2 species